AUUGAACGCUAGCGGCAUGCCUUACACAUGCAAGUCGAACGGCAGCGGGGGAGCUUGCUCCCGCCGGCGAGUGGCGAACGGGUGAGUAAUACAUCGGAACGUACCCAGUAGCGGGGGAUAGCCCGGCGAAAGCCGGAUUAAUACCGCAUACGCCCUACGGGGGAAAGGGGGGGAUCGCAAGACCUCUCACUAUUGGAGCGGCCGAUGGCUGAUUAGCUAGUUGGUGGGGUAAAGGCCUACCAAGGCGACGAUCAGUAGCUGGUCUGAGAGGACGACCAGCCACACUGGGACUGAGACACAGCCCAGACUCCUACGGGAGGCAGCAGUGGGGAAUUUUGGACAAUGGGCGAAAGCCUGAUCCAGCAAUGCCGCGUGUGCGAAGAAGGCCUUCGGGUUGUAAAGCACUUUUGUCAGGGAAGAAAUCGUUUGGGUUAAUACCCCGAGCAGUUGACGGUACCUGAAGAAUAAGCACCGGCUAACUACGUGCCAGCAGCCGCCGCCG
rnacentral:rRNA from 1 species